ACAAACUUGGUCAUUUAGAGGAAGUAAAAGUCGUAACAAGGUUUCCGUAGGUGAACCUGCGGAAGGAUCAUUAAAGAACACACCACUACAAGGACUGUGAGAUUUGAUUCAGAGGAAACACUGAGAGAGAGGGAAUAGUCUUUUGCGUGCGAUGGGACCCCCCCAUAAAAAGAGGGGGUUCUCCUGCUGGGACCUCAUAGCUUUCGUGCCAUUAGUCGCACUUGAAACCGGUGGACAUCGCAGGUACAAAUCUCUCAGAGGGAUCCCCCUCUGGACUGAUUGAGCAGUCACUUUUAGUUCAUUCCACACCCCUAUGUGAACCUUUGCGCAUGCUGAUACAGAGUCAUCUGGGAGGCUUGCGACUUCUAUAUACCCCUGUAAGAUAAGUCUUAGAAUGCUACCUUGCGUUUAAUCGCAUCCAAUACAACUUUCAGCAACGGAUCUCUUGGCUCUCGCAUCGAUGAAGAACGCAGC
rnacentral:misc_RNA from 1 species